rnacentral:rRNA from 1 species
UCAUAUCAAUAAGCGGAGGAAAAGAAACCAACAGGGAUUGCCUCAGUAACGGCGAGUGAAGCGGCAAUAGCUCAAAUUUGAAAGCUGGCGUCUUCGACGUCCGCGUUGUAAUUUGUAGAGGAUGCUUCGGCAAGGACUCCUGCCUAAGUCCCCUGGAACGGGGCGUCACAGAGGGUGAGAAUCCCGUAUGUGGCGGGCGGUCCGAGCCAUGUGAAGCUCCUUCGACGAGUCGAGUUGUUUGGGAAUGCAGCUCUAAAUGGGAGGUAAAUUUCUUCUAAAGCUAAAUAUUGGCCAGAGACCGAUAGCGCACAAGUAGAGUGAUCGAAAGAUGAAAAGCACUUUGGAAAGAGAGUUAAAAAGUACGUGAAAUUGUUGAAAGGGAAGCGCUUGCAACCAGACUCGCUCGCAGUUGCUCAGCCGGCCUCUUGGCCGGUGUACUCUUCUGCGAUCGGGCCAGCAUCGGUUCGGGCGGCCGGAUAAAGGUGUCGGGAAUGUAGCACCCUUCGGGGUGUGUUAUAGCCCGGCGCGGAAUGCGGCCAGCCUGGACCGAGGAUCUCGCUUCGGCAAGGAUGCUGGCGUAAUGGUUGUAAGCGGCCCGUCUUGAAACACGGACCAAGGAGUCUAACAUCUAUGCGAGUGUUUGGGUGUCAAACCCAUGCGCGUAAUGAAAGUGAACGGAGGUGGGAACCCCUCACGGGGUGCACCAUCGACCGAUCCUGAUGUCUUCGGAUGGAUUUGAGUAAGAGCAUAGCUGUUGGGACCCGAAAGAUGGUGAACUAUGCCUGAAUAGGGUGAAGCCAGAGGAAACUCUGGUGGAGGCUCGCAGCGGUUCUGACGUGCAAAUCGAUCGUCCAAAUUUGGGUAUAGGGGCGAAAGACUAAUCGAACCAUCUAGUAGCUGGUUCCUGCCGAGU